AUAGAACUAUUACUUUGUGUCGUGUUUAUGUUUAACGGGAUGUUCCUGUUUUUAAUUUAACAGGGUCAUUCAUGCUAAAUUAUACCAGAUGAGUGUACGAGAUUACUAACGCCAUACUCAAGUGCAAUCAGUCCCGACACAAACGAGAGCAGCAGUUGCGGGUUUGAAUUUGAACGCGAAUCCUAUUGAAGCGGGUUUUAUUUGCACUGAUACAUGACGAAGAUUCAUACGGAGAUCCUUCAUAUAGAGUCAUUCCUGCUAAAUUAUACCAGAUGAGUGUACGAGACGACUGCGUUUGAUUUUGAAGGCGAAUCCUAUUAAAGGACUUUUAUUUGCAUUGAUAAAUGAUGAAGAUUCAUACGGAGAUCCUUCAUAUGACCUGAGGGCGUCUGAUCAGGGGAGCUACAGAGUGAGGGACCUUCAGGGAAACACUAUCGUCACUGUGGGAGCUCACAGAGACACUGUCACCCUGCAGCCUGGAGCCUCUCUGUCUGUUCCCCUGUUCACUGGAGAGCCAGUGGAGGUGCUGUUUCCACCUGCAGGAGGUGGAAACUGGACCUCAGUGUGUUCUGUCCAGAACAGCACAGCCCGCUGUGUCCCCCAGUACAGAGACAGAGUGUCGGUGCAGAACAGCUCUCUGACACUGCAUUCCCUCACUCCAGCUGAUCAGGGGAGCUACAGAGUGAGGGACCUUCAGGGAAACACUAUCAGCACUGUGAUCGUCACUGUGGGAGCUCCACUCACUCUCCCAGUCUGAGAAUUGAGAGGCUCAGAGAGAUGGACUGCACCACCAGAGACGGAGGAGAGAUCCACGUCACAAAAGGCACCAGACUGCUUACAGUUUACAGGAAGCCCACCCUCGGCACUCGAACCCGGAGCCCUGCCCAGCCUGAUGGGAGAUCCCAGCAUGAGUGAGUCUGAUCUUCACCCUGUUCUCUGCUCUCCUUCUGCCUGUGUGUCCACUGGCUCAGUCACCGAGCAGGAGAGAGAGCCCACGAAAUUCCCUGGGAAAAUGCAGACAGAAGUUUGGAACAGUUCAGCGGAAGUCUGCAGGUGUCCCUUAAUGAAGGCUGGUUUUGUACCAAAACAACUGAAAAACUGACGGAGAAUUAACGAGGACUCCUUUUCUUGGAUAUUCUCUGCAUGUGUUAACCACUAAACCAGACAAACUCUUCAGUCUGUUUCCUGAAUUAGUUUAUUUGCCUGUUUACUGUGCUUGGGAUUCACUGGAAUUGUGAGUCACUAAGCCAGUGUCUCUGUGUUCACUGUAAAGGUGAGAGGAGUGGGGUACCAGCCAGGUGGGAGCUGGAGGAGUGGGGUACCAGACAGUUGAAGCCAAGGAACAUUCCUGUGUGACAGUGAACACGCUCAACCGAGAUCUCUGUGGGAUCCUGAAGGAGGAAAAGUCAAGAGGGAGGACAGACACCCCAACAUCGGAGCUCUCUCCCAGUCGGACACCAGGGGCCCCGACGCCCACAUCCUCCCCCAUCGGCUCCAUCUCUCCGGUCGUGUCGUCUGGACGUUGGACUCCAGGAUCUCAGGGAAGGUUCCCUCCUCCCAGCCCGGCUCAGGCCUGAGGAGUCUGGGAGAUCUGGGAGAAGCCAACAGGGAGAAACUCCUCCUGGACCUCGACUCUGGGAGGAGCCCAGCGCCUGGACCCCCAGAAGACUCAGGAUGACCAGGAGGAGCCCAGGGGUG